GUUCCUGGACCCAGACUCCUGGACUCGGAUGAUUCAGAAAAUGAGGGAGAAGACCUGGCAAGCCCUGCUUCUCUUGAGCCCUCUCCCUCCCUGGCACCCACUCAAAGGGAGGGGCCGGCAAGGCCUGAUUCUCCCGGGCCUUCUUCUGAUUUGGCAACGCCCCAAGAACAGUUUUGGAGGGACGCAAGAUUACGAAGGCUUGAUCGACGUGCGCAGCAGCGGAAGAGUUGGGACAAAGCCAAGUCAUAAUUGUCAUGCAGUGACAUCUGCAGAGACUAUAAAUAGGAGGCGGGACUUCCUGGUUUUUUGUCUCGGACAAAGCAAUGAAUUUGGCGCAAGCUAAUUCAUGGAGGGAAGAAUAUAUUCAUCUGAAUACUCCUAUAAUUUGACAUCGUAUUUCCAGGUGUAUGUAAACCAGUGGUGGGUUUCUACCAGUUCAGACGAACUGGUAGCGGCACUGGCGGGAGGCCCCACCCACCCACCUGGAUGUCAUCACGGACGCCCUGCGCAUGCGCAGAAGUGCCAGGCACACGCUCACAGUUCCAAACCAGUAGCGAAGCAGGGAAUAUCUUGGGAAGCAACCUGACUUUUCAAGCACCGCAGAACUGAAGAGGAAAACGGCAGCCCCAUUGAUCCGCCAGUAAUGGGAAACACAUCGAUAAAAGCGUUUUCUGCCUCCCUUGCCAAUAAGGAACAUUAACUGAAUUGUUACACCUCAUCUUUUUGAUGCUGCCUUCUCCUCUCAGUGCAAGGAGGCUGUUAAAACCAGGGCAUCCUUGUCUGUCCUUGUUGUUAAGACUCGCGCAUGGAAGCACAUGUCAAAAGGACCAUAUUACUCUCGGUCGUUUUAAGGCAGUUGCUGAGGGAGUUUCUUUUGAUUAGCAUGUUCAAUCCAUUUUUGGUGGUCUGGUAACACUCUUAACCCUGCAACUUGACUCAAGCCAUUUUCACAAGAAGCGAUUUGCAGCAUCUUAUAGCAUGAUCAUGUCAUUAUCAAGCAGGCCUCAAACCCAUCCUCAUUAGUAAUGACGGUUAGAAACUAGAAAAUGCUCUACAUCGUUAAGAUGGGAUCACAUCUUCUUAAGUCCUAUAGUGAAGAAUUAGAAUAACAGAAUAACGGAGUUGGAAGAGACCUUAGAGAUCUUCUAGUCCAAGGGUCUCCAACCUUGGCAAC